rnacentral:rRNA from 1 species
GACGAACGCUGGCGGCGUGGAUUAGGCAUGCAAGUCGAACGGUAGGAUACCUUCGGGUAUCUGAGAGUGGCGAACGGGUGAGUAACACGUAGGUGAUCUACCCUCAAGAUUGGGACAACCCAGGGAAACUUGGGCUAAUACCGGAUGAAAGCAGCAGUGAUGUUGUUUGAAAGGUGGCGUAAGCUGCCGUUUGGGGAUGAGCCUGCGCUCUAUUAGUUAGUUGGCGGGGUAAAGGCCCACCAAGGCGAUGAUAGAUAGGCGGCCUUAACGGGUGGUCGCCCACACUGGGAUUGAGAUACGGCCCAGACUCCUACGGGAGGCAGCAGUCGAGAAUAGUCUACAAUGGCCGAAAGGCUGAUAGUGCGACGCCGCGUGAACGAAGAAGCCCUUCGGGGUCGUAAAGUUCUUUUAUUAUGUGUAGCAGUGCUUUUCUAUGUGAACAGCAUGGGGAGAGAGAUAUUAGCAUAUGAAUAAGCAACGGCUAACUCCGUGCC